rnacentral:rRNA from 1 species
GUGCCAGCAGCCGCGGUAAUACGUAGGUCCCGAGCGUUGUCCGGAUUUAUUGGGCGUAAAGCGAGCGCAGGCGGUUAGAUAAGUCUGAAGUUAAAGGCUGUGGCUUAACCAUAGUAGGCUUUGGAAACUGUUUAACUUGAGUGCAAGAGGGGAGAGUGGAAUUCCAUGUGUAGCGGUGAAAUGCGUAGAUAUAUGGAGGAACACCGGUGGCGAAAGCGGCUCUCUGGCUUGUAACUGACGCUGAGGCUCGAAAGCGUGGGGAGCAGACAGGAUUAGAUACCCUGGUAGUCCACGCUGUAAACGAUGAGUGCUAGGUGUUAGACCCUUUCCGGGGUUUAGUGCCGUAGCUAACGCAUUAAGCACUCCGCCUGGGGAGUACGACCGCAAGGUUGAAACUCAAAGGAAUUGACGGGGGCCCGCACAAGCGGUGGAGCAUGUGGUUUAAUUCGAAGCAACGCGAAGAACCUUACCAGGUCUUGACAUCCCUCUGACCGCUCUAGAGAUAGAGUUUUCCUUCGGGACAGAGGUGACAGGUGGUGCAUGGUUGUCGUCAGCUCGUGUCGUGAGAUGUUGGGUUAAGUCCCGCAACGAGCGCAACCCCUAUUGUUAGUUGCCAUCAUUUAGUUGGGCACUCUAGCGAGACUGCCGGUAAUAAACCGGAGGAAGGUGGGGAUGACGUCAAAUCAUCAUGCCCCUUAUGACCUGGGCUACACACGUGCUACAAUGGCUGGUACAACGAGUCGCAAGCCGGUGACGGCAAGCUAACCUCUUAAAGCCAGUCUCAGUUCGGAUUGUAGGCUGCAACUCGCCUACAUGAAGUCGGAAUCGCUAGUAAUCGCGGAUCAGCACGCCGCGGUGAAUACGUUCCCGGGCCUUGUACACACCGCCCGUCACACCACGAGAGUUUGUAACACCCGAAGUCGGUGAGGUAACCGUAAGGAGCCAGCCGCCUAAGGUGGGAUAGAUGAUUGGGGUGAAGUCGUAACAAGGUAACC